AUGAAAGGAUGGGGCGCCAACGUGGGUCGCGACAUCCGGGAGCGGAAGAAAGCUCUCUUAGAAGCCAUCCAAUCCUUGGACCUCUGCACUGAUGCCGUGGGUCUCUCGGCCGACGAAUGGAUGCUUAGGUACGAUCUGGAGGACCAGCUCACGGUCAUCUACACGGACGAGGAGGCAUAUUGACGCCUGAGGGGUAGGCAGAAUUGGGUCCUCAAGGGGGAUGCCAGUACCGCUUACUUCCAGGCCAUCGCUAACGGCCGACGCCGCCGCAACUCCAUCCCGCUUCUUUGGGACGGAGAGGCCCUCCUGCAGCAACCUGAGGCCAUCAGGGCCCAUGUCGAUGGCUUUUUCAGAGACUUGUUCUCUGCCCCCCCCCCGGGAAGGGCUUACACUCGCGCAAGACAUCUGGCCGGCCCACUGCUGUGUCUCGGCAGCAGACAAUGCGGCACUGACUGCCCCUUUCUCCGAGGCCAAGGUGUGGGCGGACAUUAA
rnacentral:rRNA from 1 species